ACGGAGGGUGCAAGCGUUAUCCGGAAUCACUGGGUUUAAAGGGUGCGUAGGCGGUUGUAUAAGUCAGGGGUGAAAGCACGCAGCUUAACUGUGUAAUUGCCUUUGAUACUGUACGGCUUGAAUAGGGUUGAGGUUGGCGGAAUGUGACAUGUAGCGGUGAAAUGCAUAGAUAUGUCAUAGAACACCGAUUGCGAAGGCAGCUGACUGGGCCUAUAUUGACGCUGAGGCACGAAAGCGUGGGGAGCAAACAGG
rnacentral:rRNA from 1 species